AACCAUAGAAACCUGCGGAGUACCUGCGGAAGGAUCAUUAAAGAGUUUUGAGGUUGAUGUUUGUGUAGUGUGUGUGUGUGGUCAUAUGUGUGUGGUGCACAUUUACUCGCCGCGUGUAAUGCGGAGAGUGUGUAUGUGUGUUGUUGCCGUAUGACGGACGCGCGCUCUCACAUCAUCAUGACCUUUGCGUAUGUUGUGUUUGCCUGUGUUAUUAUGUUAUCAUAUUUAAUGAAAAGACAA
rnacentral:misc_RNA from 1 species